CCAUCCCGGAAAAAGGAAACAGGCUCGUCGCUUCCGGGUUUGAAGCUCUCCGCGAGACCUUUAAAAAAAAAAAAAGGAACGACGGAGGGGACGGUGCGAAACCGCGGCGGCGGAAGUUUCGGCUUCGACGUUUCGAUCUCUAUAUAUGUCUUCAUCCUGGCAAAUAGAUGGGGAAGAAAUGGAGGUAGUGACAGAUUUUAUUUUCCUGGGCUCCAAGAUCACUGCAGAUGGGGACUACAGCCAAGAAAUUAAAAGACGCUUGCUCCUGGGGAGGAAAGCUAUGGCAAAUCUAGACAGCAUACUAAAAAGCAGAGACAUCACCCUACCAACAAAAGUGCAUAUAUGGUUUUUCCAGUUGCAAUGUAUGGUUGUGAAAGUUGGACCAUAAGAAAGGCUGAGCGCCAAAGAAUUGAGGCCUUUGAACUAUGGUGCUGGAGAAGGCUCCUGCGAGUCCCUUGGACUGCAAGGCGAUCAAACUGGUCAGUCCUAGAGGAGAUCAACCCUGACUGCUCUUUAGAAGGCCACAUCCUGAAGAUGAAACUGAAAUACUUCGGCCACCUAAUGAGGGGGAAGGACUCAUUGGAGAAGAACCUAACGCUGGGAAAGAUUGAGGGCAAAAGUAGAAGGGGACGACAGAGAAUGAGGUGGCUGGAUAGAGUCACUGAAGCAAUAGGCAUGAGCUUAAAUGGAUUCCAGAGGAUGGUAGAGGACAGGAAGGCCUGGAGGAACGUUGUCCAUGGGGUCGCGAUGGGUUGGACAUGACUUUGCAACUAACAACAACAACAUGUCUUCAUCCUUUUUUGUAGUAUUCCUGCAUCUAAUGUCUUUCUCUGACAGCCUCACUCUGUCACAUCUCAAAAUACAUAUAAUGGUCUGUAGGGCUGUCUAAAAAUCAGUUAAAAAGAAGCUGAUAUAUAUAGUCUAUAUCUAAAGCAAGUAUGUUCAUAUAUAUUAUAUUCACAACAAUCUGCAAUUAAAGGCAACCUAGCUUGAAUCAUUGAUAAUGAUUAGAAACUCACAUGUAAGUCACAAUGUGGUUUUCACUUCGCGUUGUUAUAAACUAGACAAUUCUGGUUUAAGAAAUAAAUCAGCUAAAUUGUUAAAUGAUCAUUCCAAUAUUAAUGGUUUGUCAAUAACACAGAUCUAAAACACCAGAAAUACUAGGAAUCAGGGUUAAAGAGAAUAGAAUAUAGAAUAGAAUAGAGCUGGAAGGGACCUUAGAAGUCUUCUAGUCCAGCCCCCUGCUCAAGGAGGAGAAACAGAUUUUACAGUUUGUGGAAAGAAUUUUAUAUGUCAAAUUUAUCUGUUAUUUAUCAAUCUCUAUGCAGUUAAAAGUACAUUUACUCAUCUUAAAUUGGAACUGGUAACUUAUUGUUCAUAAGAUACAGGGAUAUCUGCAGUUAGGACAUUUGUAUUCAUAAAAUGCGCAUGAAAAAUUAUUGAGAAUGUCUCAGUGCACAAGUGCCCACUUGUGACAUUUAACACAGCGAGCCUAUUAUUUUCAUAACACGUGAGAAAAGCCGUUUCAUAAUACAGAAAAUAAAAAGGGGAAAGGAAAUUAUAGAUCUGUCAAACCAUUCAUUUAAAAUGUUUGUAGAUUGCAUGCGUACAACAGUGUUACACAAUAGUAAUAAAUACAUACCCUGAAA